rnacentral:rRNA from 1 species
UAAAAUAAUUAAGGGCACACAAAGGAUGCCUAGGUAGUAAGAGCCGAUGAAGGACGUGGUAAGCUGCGAUAAGCCUAGAUAAGUUGCAAUCGAACGUAAGAGUCUAGGAUUUCCGAAUGGAGCAAUCUAUUAAGAUGGAGUCUUAAUACGAAAGAGGGAACCGCGUGAACUGAAACAUCUAAGUAACGCGAGGAAAAGAAAGUAAAAACGAUACCCAAAGUAGCGGCGAGCGAAAUGGGUCAAGCCUAAACCUUAAAUAUGUCAAGGAUACAGCCGUUGUAUUUAAGGGGUUGUGGGACAGAGUGAUGAAGAACUGUAAGAUAUUCAAUAUAGUGUAUUGAUGAAUUAGAAUUGUCUGGAAAGGUGAACCGCAGAAGGUGAAAGUCCUGUAUAAGUAAAUCCUUACACAUAUAACUUUGCUCCCAAGUAACAUGGAACACGAGGAAUUCUGUGUGAAUCAGUGAGGACCAUAUCUCAUAAGGCUAAAUACUCUUACUAACCGAUAGCGCAUAGUACCGUGAGGGAAAGGUGAAAAGAACCCCUGGAGGGGAGUGAAAUAGAACCUGAAAUUGUGUGCUUACAAGCGGUCAGAGCCCAUUUGGGUGAUGGCGUGCCUUUUGGAGAAUGAUCCUGCGAGUUACGUUAAACGGCGAGGUUAAGUAUAACGGAGCCGAAGGGAAACCAAGUCUUAAUAGGGCGAUUUAGUCGUUUGGCGUAGACGCGAAACCUGGUGAUCUAAACCUGUCCAGGAUGAAGCUGUGGUAAGACACAGUGGAGGUCCUAACCCACCGCCGUUGAAAAGUUGGGGGAUGAGGUAGGUUUAGGGGUGAAAAGCCAAUCGAACCAGGAGAUAGCUCGUUCUCUCCGAAAUGCAUCUAGGUGCAGCCUUGAGUGUUCAAUUAUGGGGGUAGAGCACUGAAUGAUCUAGGGGGCAUAUUGCUUACUGAAAUCAAUCAAACUCCGAAUACCAUAAUUUAUAGCUCAGGAGUGAGACUAUGGGAGUUAACUUCCAUUGUCAAAAGGGAAACAACCCAGACCACCAGCUAAGGUCCCUAAUUAUAACUAAGUGGGAAAGGAGGUGGAGAUUCACAAACAACUAGGAGGUUGGCUUAGAAGCAGCCAUACCUUUAAAGAGUGCGUAAUAGCUCACUAGUCGAGAGUCUCUGCGCCGACAAUGUAACGGGGCUAAGUUAUAAACCGAAGCUGUGGAAUCCUUUUGGAUUGGUAGGAGAGCGUUCUGUAGGCCGUUGAAGAAGAAGGGUAACCAACUUUGGAGGUAUCAGAAGUGAGAAUGCAGGAAUAAGUAGCGAGAAAGGGGGCGAGAAUCCCCCUCGCCGGAAGACCAAGGUUUUCAGGGUAAAGCUUGUCUUCCCUGAGUAAGCCGGGACCUAAGCCCAGGCUAUAAUGCGUAGGCGAAUGGAAAACAGAUUAAUAUUUCUGUGCCAGUCAUUUAUUGUGAUGGAGGGACGCAGAAGGGUAUGCGCGCGGACGAUCGGUUGUGUCCGUAGAAGUAUGUAGGAUGACUUAGUAGGUAAAUCCAUUAAGUUAUAUCUGAGGUAUGAUAUACAGUCGUAAGAUGAAUGUGCAAAUCCCACGCUGCCAAGAAAAGCUUCUAACGUUAAUAUAUGACUGCCCGUACUGUAAACCGACACAGGUGGUCAGGAUGAGAAAUCUAAGGCGGACAGGCUAACUCUCGUUAAGGAACUCUGCAAAAUAACCUCGUAACUUCGGGAGAAGAGGAGCCCUUGGGUGUUAGUAUCCAUGCGAUACAAAGCGCUCGAGGGUCGCAGUGAAGAGGCUCAAGCAACUGUUUAACAAAAACACAGGUCUAUGCUAAGCUGGAAGGCGAUGUAUAUGGGCUGACACCUGCCCAGUGCUGGAAGGUUAAGAGGAGGAGUGAGAGCUCCGAAUUGAAGCCCCAGUGAACGGCGGCCGUAACUAUAACGGUCCUAAGGUAGCGAAAUUCCUUGUCGGGUAAG